CGGGGUGCAGCAGGCGCGAAAACUUUGCAAUACGCGAAAGUGUGACAGGGUUAUCCCGAGUGCCAUCCGCUGAGGAUGGCUUUUACCCAGUCUAGAACGCUGGGGGAAUAAGGAGAGGGCAAGUCUGGUGUCAGCCGCCGCGGUAAUACCAGCUCUCCGAGUGGUGUGGAUGUUUAUUGGGCCUAAAGCAUCCGUAGCUGGCUGAAUUAGUCCCUUGUUAAAUCCACCGAUUUAAUCGUUGGACUGCGGGGGAUACUGCUCGGCUAGGGGACGAGAGAGGCAGACGGUAUUCCCGGGGUAGGGGUGAAAUCCUAUAAUCCCGAGAAGACCACCAGUGGCGAAGGCUGUCUGCUAGAACGCGCCCGACGGUGAGGGAUGAAAGCUGGGGGAGCGAACCGGAUUAGAUACCCGGGUAGUCCCAGCUGUAAACGAUGCAGACUAGGUGUUUGGACGGCCACGUGCCGUUCUAGUGCCGCAGGGAAGCUGUUAAGUCUGCCGCCUGGGGAGUACGAUCGCAAGAUUGAAACUUAAAGGAAUUGGCGGGGGAGCAC
rnacentral:rRNA from 1 species